UGUCCCCCUAGUUAUAGGAAAAGUAUACACAUACAACAAUCCUAACUACAGGAAUAUCCAAUUAGGAUAUGUAUGUAUAGGCCGAUGUGCGGGAUCCUGCCGGCUUAGUUAAAUAUAUCACUAUUGGAAAAAAAUUUAAAUAUGCUUAACAAAUGCUGCCCCAGAAGGAAUGAGAUCGCCAAAGCGAACGCAAAAAAACGGUCUUCGAGAACUUGAAUUGGAAAACUGUCAACCACGUUUUGAAUUACUUCUUCAGCAGCAAGCCCCUGUUUUUACCUUAAGUUUUCUAGUACAAGACUUAUUAAACGGGUUGUUCCCUUUGGCGAUGGGUUUA